rnacentral:rRNA from 1 species
GAUGAACGCUGACAGAAUGCUUAACACAUGCAAGUCAACUUGAACUUCGGUUUGGGUGGCGGACGGGUGAGUAACGCGUAAAGAACUUGCCUCACAGAUAGGGACAACAUUUGGAAACGAAUGCUAAUACCUGAUAUUAUGAUUUUAGGGCAUCCUAGGAUUAUGAAAGCUAUAUGCGCUGUGAGAGAGCUUUGCGUCCCAUUAGCUAGUUGGAGAGGUAACGGCUCACCAAGGCGAUGAUGGGUAGCCGGCCUGAGAGGGUGAUCGGCCACAAGGGGAAUGAGACACGGCCCUUACUCCUACGGGAGGCAGCAGUGGGGAAUAUUGGACAAUGGACCAAGAGUCUGAUCCAGCAAUUCUGUGUGAACGAUGAAGUUUUUCGGAAUGUAAAGUGCUUUCAGUUGGGAAGAAAAAAAUGACGGUACCAACAGAAGAAGUGACGGCUAAAUACGUG